rnacentral:misc_RNA from 1 species
CCAAUCUUAGCGGACCUUGGCUUGUCCAUGGUCUCGCGAAACCUGUAUUUAAAACCCAACUCAUAAUAAAAAAAUAAACUUUAUCAUUGAUAUAAAUUAAAGA